rnacentral:lncRNA from 1 species
UCUGUCUCUCUCUCUCUCUCUCUCUCUCACACACACACACACACACACACACUCAAACACACACACACAUACACCCAUGCUUCUUUAUCUAUAUCUACUGGGAGCACUGGAAAUCCUGCCCCAGCAGUGGUCCUGCCCAGAGGGGAUCUGACCAGCCAGGCUUCAAGAGAGCAGUGGAUGAGGCUGCCAUUGCCCUCUGACCCUCAGCUGUCUGGAUGCACAAUAAAGGAUGCCUUUAUUGAGUUCAAAGAGCCAGGUGGUGCUGCUGAUGGGGAGAAGGCAGAGUGACUCUGGAUGGGAAGAGGUGGAUGGCUCUCACCACCAGGCAACCUGGUGUGGGGUUUUAUGAGCCGAAGCAGAGAAGCUCCUGCCCCUGGCUUAAAAAUUGACUAUCCUGGCUAAAAACAAAAUAUUCCCUUUGCUUCUUCAGAGAAGAUUCAACAGGAAGGACAAUAGCAUCUAGUGCCUCCAUUGAGAUUUUUUAAAAAUAAACUUUUUAUUUUGGAAUAAUUUCACUUUUACAGAAAAUUUACAAAUUAAUACGAAGAGUUCUCAUGUUCCCCUCUCCUAGUUUUCCCUAUUGUUAACAUCUUACAUCACCACAGUACGUUCAGAAAAACUAAGGAACAAACAUUGACAGGUUACUAUUGUUAGUUAAACUCUAUAAUCUUUAUUCAGGUUUCACUAGCUUUUCCAUGAAUGUCCCUUUUUCGGUUCCAGGAUUUCAUCCAGCAUAUCAGAUUACAUUUAGUUGUUGUGUCUUCUUAGUUAUAAUUUUCCAGUCUUUCCUUAUUUUGAUACUUUGAUAAUUUUGAGAAGUAUUGGUCAGGUACUUUAUAUAAUGUCCCUCCAUUUGGGUUUGCAAAGUAUUUUUUUCAUGAUUACACUGGGGUUAUGGGUUUCUGGGAGGAAGACCACCAAGGUAAAGUGUCCUCUCAUCACAACCUGUGGGAUGUACCCAGGUGCUGUCCACAUGAUUUACCUGUGGUUCCACCAUGAUUUGAAGGCAGAGGGCAGGCUCUGAGAAGCCUCCUACAGGAUGAGGGUCUUGAUUCAGAGUCCUUCCCUCUGGAUGCACAAGACCAUGGAUUGCUGAUCAAGAAGGACCCUGCAAAGCUGGAGAUGGGGUGGAGUGGGGCAGUGCUGCACAUGGGAAGAGCAACAGACUAGAAGCCAGGUCUGUCUGGCACUAGUCCUGACUUCACCGCUUCUGAGCUGCGUGAUGUUGAGUGAGAGUCUUUAACCUCCCUGGCCUCAGUUUCCUCAUUCACCAAUCAGUAUGUAACCCCUUCCCCUCCCUUCCUUCUAGGGUUGGCAACUGGAUCAAAUGACAUUAGAUUUGAAAAGACUUUAAAAAGUAUAAAAGACAGUACAUAGAUGGGAAGUCAGUCUUUAAGCCUGCUUUGGAUUUUCCAGCAUUUCAGCUCCAGCAGGAGGAGAAAGAUUUACUUUCUAUUUACUUAUCACUGUUAACAAGCAAACACAUACAAGUCAUAUGGGUGUGUGUGUGUGUGUGUAAUCUUUUAACUUUUUUAAAAGUCUGAUUUAUUGAAAUAUAUUUACAUAUAGUAAAAUUCAUCCUUCUUAUGUGUACAGUUCUGAGUUUUGACAAAAAAUACAAUCAUGUAAUCCUUACCACAAUUAAGAUAGAGAACACGAGACAUAGAAUACUUCCAUGACCUCUUCACCCCCAAAUUCCCUCACACUUCUGUCAUCAACCCAUUCCCCUACUCUUAGCCCCUGGCAAUAUUGACCUGUUUUUUGUUCCUAUUUUCUACAAUGUCAUAUGAAUUGAAUCAUGUUGCCUUUAUUGUUUUUAGUUCUAAAAACAACAUUAUUGAGGUAUAACUGAUAUACAAUAAAAUGCACAUACAAAAGUAUACAACACGUAAGUCUUGGUUAUGUAUACAUUUGUGAUAUCAUCCCCACAAUCAGGACAGUGAACAUAUACCCAUCACCCUAAAAGUGUCCUCAACUUCUACUGUCACUGCUUUUCAGCAAACUGAUGGUUCUCUGCAUGUACUCUGAGGCACAGUGCUCACUCCCACUGUUAUGCCCUCCUUCAGGUGGCUUUCUUUCCCUUAAGCUACCACCUGGCCCUUUUGAUCUCUCCAAAUCCUGCCCAUCCUUCAAGUCUACGCUUUAGCCCUCCCCACCACCCAAUGUCUAAAGGGUCCUUUAAAGUUAUCCUUUGAGAAUAAUUCAGCCCACACUUGCUACUUCCUUCUCUACUCCUAAUGUACUUACAGACAACCUCUCAUUGUGGUCUUUCUUUAUAUAACAGUGUUUGUAUCUUACUGUCCUAAGGUGAGUGGCCCAGUGUUUAGCAGCAUGGUCUCUGGGGUUAGAUAGUUAGGUUCAUAUAGUUAACCUUAGGCUCCUGUUUAACCUCUGUCUCUGUGUCAUUUUUCCUUAUCUGUAAAAUUAGGAAGACAAUACAGUAUCUACCACAAAGGGUCUUGUGAGGAUUAAUUGGGUUUAUCUGCAUAAAGCACUUAGAAAAGAAUCUUGUUAUACAGUAAGCACUUAAUAAAUGUCCACUGGCUUCAUCAGUACCAUUACCGUUGAAAGCCUUUUAACAGCAAAAACUACAACUCUCACUGUGUCCACAGUAGUGGGCUUGUGGAUGGAGCUCAGAUAUUUGUUGGGCUUUUGAUCAAGGGACCAUUCCAGUGAAUCAGAAAGUUCCUGUGACCACUUAACAUAUUACACGCUUGCUUGUGUACUGCUCUUAGAUGAUAUAAAAACAAAUCAAAUUCCCAAACCAAAAAGCUGCACUCUUUUGUCUGGGUAAAUACAGCUAUGACAUGUCUAUUUCCAUGGUUUAGAAUAUCACCAGUGGGAAUCUACUGUGGAAAAUUGAGUACAACACUAUCAUCAUAUGAUUUGUUUUGCUCAUAUUUGGCUGUGCCAUUGGCUGCGGAGCCAGGCAGCGAACUCCACACAAUGAGGAGCCUGUGAAAACGCAGAGAAGGCAAGAAAGGAUGCAAACAUUUAGGCAGCAUCUGAUGGUAGCUGGCUUGUGGUUUACCUGGCCUUUGGUUAGAUAACUGUGCCUGAUCCCUAUGGCCAGGAAGGAAGACAGUGCUAAUGAAAAUGAAGAUCUGUACAACAAAAGUACAGGCCUACCUCAGAGAUAUUGGAGUGUUCAGUUCCAGACCACGCAAUAAAGUGAAUAUCACAAUGAAGAGCUGAAGAAUUCACAUUUGGGCUGAUGGGCCUGGGGUAGGGAUGACCAACAGACCACAUGCUUCUUGUCUCUUCUACUCCCUGAUCCUCUGAUAGACAGGGCUAAGUGAUCAUCCACUCCUUCCACCCUCCAGCCUCCGAGUGGGCCACUUUUCAAGCAUGGAAUUCCAGAUGAGGAGACUGAGUUAUGGAGAACUUAUCUAAUUAUGUAAUUAGCCUAAGCUAACACUGCAAGUUAGCAAUAAGUAGAAGUCUCCCAGGGCCCUCCCAUGCCCUCACAAAGCACGAAAAGCAAUAGAAUGUGGUCUUGUGGAUUAGGAAACGGAGACUCAGCAGGCCAUGGGUCAAGGUGACUAGAGCAGCCCUUCGUGUGAACUAAUGCCUGGAGACCAGACAGUCCAGGACAGCUCUGUGAAUGACAAGGGGACAGGUGAUGAUCAAGAACAGAUUCCCCCUCCCUCCUCCAUGCCUUGGCAACCUCAAACAGAAUAAAACAAAAUGACCACCACAAGAGAGGAGAGAUAGUGAAACACCGGACUGAAUAAUAUCGUAUUAAAUUGUCUGAGAUUAGAUUUCUCCCUGCUGUUAUACAAAAAUACAGGUUACAUUUCUUGCAACCAUUUCUACUUAACUUUCCUUUCUCUGCUGGGUUCUGGGAGGGAAACUUCAGUCAGACUUGUCACAUGCCCAGGCUUUACCCAGGAAGUGAGCCUCAGUCUCAUCUGCUCUCAAAUGCCUAACUUAUCCUGCCCCGGGGCCUGGCUGGACCAGGGGUUGGGGGAGUGAACAGUGUGCAGGCCUCCUCCUCAGGGGCCUCCCUGCAUUGGAGAUCAUUGAUUUGCUUGUUCCUCCUCCUCUCGCAACAGCACCUGCAGUUCUUAUUUCGUGGGGAGUGGUAAGGAGUGGUUCAGACUGGUCACGGUUUCUUCCAGGUCUGUUGUUUACAGCAUCAACUUCAUCCCCAGGCUGCUUGCAGGACUCAGGCAACUGAAGCUCAAAAGCCCAGGUCUUGUAGCUCAAGAGUCUGGAAAGGUUUGCAACCUUAAAUUCCAAGGGUUUGGCUGUACAGCUCUCCUCUGUUCUGCUGUAAUCACCCAAUCAGGAGGCAACAGGUGCUUCAUGGUCCAGUUUAGCAGCUUUAAGAGAUACUGGAGGAAAAUACAUCACUUAAUAUCAUCCAAGUACGCACCUAUUUGCCAUUCCUAGGUGACUCAGCCUGGGCAAUAUUCCCGCCUACCAGCAAUCUUUUCAGCUCCCUCAGUAAAAUACCAACACACCCUGUGGCUCAGUGAUGCAUUGAAGUCCCAAUUUAGUGAUACCUUAUUUACAGAUUUUCUAAAUAAAAUUGCUAAUACAGUCAACCCUUCAUAUUCACAGGUUCUGCACCCUCGGAUUCAACCAACCAAGGAUUGAAACUAUUUGAAGGAAAAGAACAAUAAUAAUACAAAUAAAAGCCAAU